rnacentral:rRNA from 1 species
CAGCAGCCACGGGAAUACGAAGGGGGCUAGCGUUGUCCGGAAUUAUUGGGCGUAAAGCGCGCGCAGGCGGUUUCUUAAGUCUGAUGUGAAAGCCCCCGGCUUAACUGGGGAGGGUCAUUGGAAACUGGGAGACUUAGAGUGCAGAAGAGGAGUGUGGAAUUCCAUGUGUAGCGGUGAAAUGCGUAGAUAUAUGGAGGAACACCAGUGGCGAAGGCGACUCUCUGGUCUGUAACUGACGCUGAGGCGCGAAAGCGUGGGGAGCAAACAGGAUUAGAUACCCCCGUAGUCCCUGUCUCUUAUA